CACGUAGGGCGCAAGCGUUGUCCGGAAUUAUUGGGCGUAAAGCGCGCGCAGGCGGUGCGGUAAGUCUCUGGUGAAAGCGCUCGGCUUAACUGGGCGAGGGCCGGGGAGACUGCCACGCUGGAGGGGAGCAGAGGCGAGUGGAAUUCCGGGUGUAGUGGUGAAAUGCGUAGAGAUCCGGAGGAACACCAGUGGCGAAGGCGGCUCGCUGGGACGUGACUGACGCUGAGACGCGAAAGCGUGGGGAGCAAACAGG
rnacentral:rRNA from 1 species